rnacentral:lncRNA from 1 species
AGACCCAAGGCAACUCAGCUGUGAUUGAGAUAGACAUUGAGUCUUUUGGGAGACAGAAGGGAGGGAGAGUGCCAGUCAAAAGGGUUUCGUGAAGAAGGUUGCAUCUGACUGGGACAGUUAGGCCUCUGUGUACCACUUUAAAAGUUUCCAGAGCCUAGAUCUGGGAUCCCACAGCAGGCCCCACGGAAGCCAUGACCAUACUGAACA